CCUACGGGUGGCAGCAGUGGGGAAUAUUGCACAAUGGGGGAAACCCUGAUGCAGCGACGCCGCGUGAGUGAAGAAGUAUUUCGGGAUGUAAAGCUCUAUCAGCAGGGAAGAAAAAAGACGGUACCUGACUAAGAAGCCCCGGCUGACUACGUGCCAGCAGCCGCGGUAAUACGUAGGGGGCAAGCGUUAUCCGGAUUUACUGGGUGUAAAGGGAGCGUAGACGGCAAUACAAGUCGGACGGGAAAUACCCGGGCCCAACCCGGGACCUGCUGUGGAAACUGUAUGGCUAGAGUGCAGGAGAGGCAGGCGGAAUUCGUGGUGUAGCGAUGAAAUGCAUAGAUAUUAGGAGGAACACCAGUGGCGAAGGCGGCUUGCUGGACAGCGACUGACGCUGAGGCUCGAAGGUGUGGGUAGCAAACAGGAUUAGAUACCCUUGUAGUC
rnacentral:rRNA from 1 species